rnacentral:lncRNA from 1 species
AGCGCGCGUAUAAGGAGGCGGCACGGAGCAAGGGGCACUCUCACAGACGAAUGUCUACUUGCUUCGCUGGGUUGAGCAUCGUCGCAAGCCUCGGCACCCCCAAGCCGUCCUCCGCCUCCGCACGCCCCAGGCUCAUCAGGAACGCGCCCGUCUUCGCCGCCGCCACCGCCGUCGUGGUACGUACGUGCAUGCAUCGAUCAAUAAUGCAUGGGCAUGGGCUCACUACUGUACCGCACUGCACCGACCACAUUGUACAUGCAUGCAUGUCUAUCCACUUUCUCUUUUCAGUGACCAUGAGCCUGAGCUGUGUAACUAACAAGUUGGCACGUGUCCAUGUCCUUGCUAUUAUCGGCACGUCACACGGCUCUUCACGAAAUGCACUACUGCAAAAAGCAAAAGCCUCCCUUGUCCCUUCCCACAAUCUCGGAGGUUGGUAGCGUACAGACCAGGACUUUCUGAAACGAAACAGAAUCCAAGUGCCACGCGAGUGUGCAAAACGGACCACACGGUCAACUAAUGAUGCACCUUGCAUUGCCACCUUUGGUUAAUUCUUCAAGCUCAAACCACACUUUUCCUGCUACAGAAACAUACGUGUGCCAUUGCCCUCAAUAACAAUAGAUUUUUUCCUUAAAAAAUAAACGUUCGUGUCUUUUCCUAAGAGCAUGGAGGCGCCGCACUGUUCCGUUGUACCAAGAGCCAAUAACAAGGCCCAGUCUGCAAAUGCGGCACGCCAUAACCCAUAACCUCAUGUUCUACCCCUCCGUUUCUAUUUAUAAGGCAUGACAUAACUUAGCACAGUCUUCCAAAUUACACUUUGACCAUUCAUUUAUCUUAUAUCAUAUUAUUUAUGGUUAUAAACUUAUGAUCAUUGUAAAGUUUAUUUAAUUACGCAUCCAACCAUAUAAAUUUUAUAUUAUAAAAAUAAAAAAUUGGUAGUUAAAUUGCUAGUUAAAGGUUGUAAAGUUUGAAUCUAGAUAUGUGCAUGCCCCUUACACAUAAAAUUUCAUUUCAACCAAUCAUUGCAUAGUAGUAUAUACCAGGUCAUACUUUUUCUCCUGCUAAUCUAAUCAUUUCCCCGUCCACCAGUAGCAACAUCAACAUGCAUGUCAACCACUGCACCCCGCAAUAGAAUAGUCGGGAAGGGAGGGGGUUUCCAAAGAGGUGGCCAAUGAUGGUGCUAGUUUAAAGGCCACAGCUAGAUAGAUGCUUUGGAAAGAAUAUAUAUAAUUCCCCAAAAGUCUCAAGUUUCAGGGAAGAAAGAUGCAAGUACACUUGCUUAGGCGUGUAAUGGGUGGCCUUUUCCCUAAACAAAGCGAUAAGGUGGGGAGUAGGGUCGUCAGUGGACUCGUUGCAUGAUGAUAGCAACUCCACACAAAACAGUUAAACAGAAGAUGUGGAGAGCUAGCCCCCAUCCGUCUUUUGGCUUUUCAGUUCCGUUUUGAACCAUCACGCAUCAAGAAAUCCAAUAACCGACCAUCUAUCAAUUUAAGCUUUAUAGUGCGCGUCAACGUUAGCUUUUUCUCUUUAGUAACGCCCAUGAUUUCCCGCGUUGCUUUUGCUCACUGUUGAGUUUUUUGCAGACAGAGCAACGAACUACCCACCAAGAGAUUCCUUGCAACUUCACAAAAGAAAAAAAAAAUCUUCCUUUUCAUCAGUAUCUGGGAGGGGGGAAAGAACUUUGCUACGUAUUGAACCGGUGGAAAAAAAAAGGUUACAGUUCUCUGUGGUAAACUGGCAGUACUUAGUACUAGUAGUAACCAAGUUUGUUAGCGCUAGGCAGUAGGAGGAGCCCAGAUUUUCGUUGCCUUCACCUCAUCACGCUGAUGCGAGGCGCACGGCUUGACACCGAUCGCACCAUGACUCGGGUGGUGCAUGCAGUCCAAACCUGUCGUAGGCUAUAGCGGCUGCCAUUAGAUAUGCACUAGAUACACGCGAAAAGGAAAUAGUAGAAUAGCUAGCCCCAAAGGGAACCUCAUCCCUUCGAUGGUUGAGCAAGCAACCGUUGCAUGUGGAGUAUAUUUAAAAGUUCACGAUUAGUGCUAGUGGUUCCUCAUUAGUAGACCGUCAUGAUGAUCGAUGAGUAAGCACGGCAGCCUAACAUACCGGAUUAGGAGGGCGCAUCAGGGGGACAAGGUCUCGAUGAGCUGAGCUCGACUGCAAGAUCAGUCUCCAAUAAUUUAGGAGCUGGUCCGUGGUCCGGGCGGUUGGCACUGGUGAAGGGAGUAAUUUAGGCGAGCCGAUAAGGAAGAUUCGGUCCCCAAGGCCGUGCCAUUGGUGCCCCGUCGUCCGGCGAUGCGACGAGCUAAAACGACCUCUUCUCUGAGAGUGAUUACCCCAUGGGGAAGUAGAGUAGCAGCCCCGUAGGCAGGCAGAUGGCAGUCUGGCAGAUCUGGGUGAGUGGGCAUCGAGAUUCCUUGGUUGUGGGAAACAACCCCUGGGGAAACGUUUUCUCGAUCGGGGUGUGGGGGAGGCAGCAAAAAGGAAAGGUUCCCGCAGCCAGCAACCUGGCCGUGGCCGGCGCCACUUGUGCUUUCGCUCUCCGUACCCGCAGCUGUGCCUCCCAUCGCAGAGCGUCAUCUGCCCAGUAGCAUAUGGUCAACUGGUCCCUCCAGCCUUGGCCUCAGCAGAUGACGAGUGCCCGUUUACCUCUUGAGCUCCUGGCCGAACUUUUCAGUCCGAAUGACUCUUGGGGUUGCCUGACCUUUUUCGUACACCAAUAAACAUUUUUUCUUCUAGAGCACCUGAUUUCAUCGGCUCAACUCAAAAGCAGAGUUGAGCACACGCGUCCGCGUCACAUACAGAUCACGGGCGCCUAAGAAUUAAUUCAACGACAAAAAGGGGAUAAGGCUGUUGCCGUUCCGUCCACAGAAGCCGCACUCACUCCCCCAUUACCAUUACUACUGCUGAUUUUUCUCCUGCACGCUCUCGCUCACGCUAUUAUUGCACGUGUCAUGUUGCUAGUAAGCCGACGAACGAGAAGCUCAUCAAAAAGUCAGACGAGAGAGAGGCGAGGAGUAGUAGCAUCCAAGCCGGCCGGCCAUAGGAAGAGGAGAAGAUGAGCGGGUGCCUUUGCCUCCCUAAAAAGAAGGAGGGGGUCUCCGCAGCGAAGCAGUCCAUAAAUUCCCCCGCCUCGUCACUCCUCCAGAACCAGAAGCCCACCCAACCUCCACCUCCUCCUUCCAAGAAGGUCCGUUCCCCUCCUCCCUUCUCCGUCCUUCCUCCUGCAGUAAUCCCCAUCCAUCCGUCACUCUUCUUUUUCCUCUCUUGCCCCCAUCGCUCAGUAGCACAGCGGCUGCAGCUGCCCUUUUCUUCACCCCCUUUGUGCUGCUGCAAAGCAGAUCCCUGCAUGGCUGCAUCCCUAUCCCCAUUUUAGAUCACCUUUGCGCAUGCUCCCUUGUGGUCUGUGCGCAAGGAGGCCAGAAAAUUUCUUCUUGUCCCUGUCCCUCUCCCUCUCUCCCUCUCUCUCUCUCUCUCUCGAACUGCAUCACCAGCAUACAGGGUAGUGCCUUGGUGGGGAUGGCUAACUGACGAUUUGUGUCUGAUCUUUGGUUGCAGGGCAUGGACGCCGUCGAGCGCUUGAAGAGCGGGUUUGACAAGUUCAAGACCGAUGUCUAUGAGUAAGUCACCAUCAAUUGCCCCGCGUUCGAUUUCAGUUUCAUGGCGCUUGAUUUGCUUCGAGAAUUUUGGGACCUCCCACUGACGACCCUGCUUUGCCCCCCGUGGAAUUUCCUCCUCGCAGCAAGAAGCCGGAGCUGUUCGAGCCGCUCAAGGAGGGCCAGGCACCCAGGGUAUGUGCUUCCUUCUCCGCCCUAUCUCAUCACCCUUGUAGACUGCUAAGAUUUUUGUCUGGAGCGGCUCCGGCCGGCUGGAAUCCUCGUCAGAAAUCAUGGAAAGCUUAAUUUAGCCAAACCGCGUUCAGUAACUUGGGUUCCCGUGGGGUCCGGGCAACGCCUGGUUGGCUGGCCCACAGAUUUGGUAGUACCUAGUACGUCCUGGUUGCCCAGGCGUCCAGUUAGAAGCAAGCUCUGAACAGUGUCGCUGGUACUAGCUCACCAUCAGGAUCCCUGCAUUACAUUCUCGUUUGCAUCUCCCAGGCAACCCUGCUGCCAUCCGUUACUGUUUCAUUUGCCGAGGUCAGAGUCGUGGUAGACAAGCGGAAACGGCUUGUCCUAAUUGCAUGACUUAACACUGACGGGGACAGCUUGUCUCCAUUAGCGGCCAGUGGCCCGUGAUCAGGUUGGAGAAACUGAAACUGUUCUUGUUGGACGAGCCUGCUCCACGGGGCACAGCCUUUUCAACUGUGCAGAGAGAGAUUGUAGUGGAUAGCAACCACCCAGGCACUAAAACAUGCGCACGGCGAGUGCAUCCCCAUGUGCAGGCCAUGUUGGUGAUUUGGGCGUUGGCCUUGUAAAUUAUUGAGAGAGAUGUCGCCGUCCCUGUAUAGGCUCACUUUCUGGACUGGUGGUGGGUGAUGAUGGAUAUAGUAUAGUCUUAUUUCCUUCUCGUUCCUAGUAUAAACCUGCUGCCAGAAUCUCGCAAGUACAGAGUUUUAUUGUUUUCUUUAUGGGGGUUCUUGGCUGGCAUCGAUCCCAUGCGCCUAAUUACUCCAUGCAUGCUGUAGUUAGCUGGUUCCAGGCCCAAGUAGUCUAGUAAUUUUAUUUGCAAAAAAAAGUGGUUGGCGUCUUAAUCGGUCUGUGGGAAACUAAGAACUAGCAACUAGCCGUGUUGAAUUCAAAGUUCAGACUAGUUGAAUUUUGUCAAGGUCUCCUGCAUCGUUUUUUUUUUUUUUUUGGGGGGGGGGGGGGGGGGGGGGGGGGGGGGGGGAGUAUAGUGCUCUAGUCCAUCAUUACACUAUAUGGUGGUGGUGAGUAGGCAUUUCAGAUGUCUCAUCGUUUUGAAAGUUCUUUUUGACGCUGCACAAAUCAUACACUAAAAAGUGACGUGAGCUCCAAGUUUCCAUGGCUAUGAAUAGAAUGGAAAUGCAAGGUGAGCCAUGCCCACAUAGACAGGUGAUAGGUCCAGGAUCCCAUCAUUCCAUGGCUAAACGUGUGGUCCAGCCAUGAUUGAGCACAGGCCCUACCUGGCAGCUAGCAACCUGUCCUGUGGCUGUGGCGCACUGGUUCCUCACCUCAUAGAAUUCGUUCUUCAUCAGCAUGUAGAAGAGUAGUUGGUUUGAGCGUGUCCUCUAUUCCCAGCCAUUGCGAAAAGUUAGGGGCAUAAACAUUGGCCAGUGCAUGUUGCUUUAGCCUUCAGAACAUUUGUGUAUUCGCAUCCAUAUCUCACUGGCCAUGCUGAUCCUUGAAAUAUAUGCUAUACUAGACACGUCUCAAAGUGUAUAAAGAGCAGAAGAUGAUUGCAUCACGCCAUGCCCCUUGCCCCCUUUCCAAACCCUGGCCUCCCAAGUGUGAGCUAAUCCAAAUAGGAACGAGGUUCCUUUUCCUAAUCAUCCAUGGACAUCGUGUCCGUCCAUCCAUUGUGGCUGCUCUUGUCACCAAGCUCAAUCUGCAGUGUGGAUUUGGCAGUUUUGAUCCGGCCUUUUGCAUGCAAAUUGUUCUCGGUUCAUGCAUGCAGGCUCGCCUUUUGCGUGUCAACUUGCCCGGAAAUAUUCUUGCUUUACGCUUGCGGCUUCCUCGCCGGGAAUGGGAUCACGUUUUGUUUCUGGCCCGUUGAUCGCCCCGGGAGCCACAUGAAAGUCGGCGUAGAAUAUCCUCGUUUCGAGUAGUAGCAGGGAACCUUCCUGCUUGGCUUUUGUCCAUCCUGCCCCCCUGGUAAAAAGUGGCUCGGAACAGAGACAACCAGGAAAUUUUUCAAAAACAGAGACAGCCAGGUCAAAAGCGGUAGCCUUUUUCGAGCGCAGUGGUACCAGCAUGCAAUCCAGCAGAGCCACCAGAAUCGUGUACUCCACCGAUCAGCGCCGAUCUGCCUACCUGCUUAUCGAUAAGAGCCGUGGGGGGCGUGAGAUGUCCAUUAGCGAUAAGACUGAUUAAGCGUGCUCUUUUCGUUAACCUGAUGCUUGAUUUUUCUUCUCUUUUGUUAAUGAUGCUGAUUUCCCCCUUUUGUCAACGCUAUGCUGCAGUACAUGGUGUUUGCCUGCUCCGACUCCCGUUGCUGCCCGUCGGUGACCCUGGGCCUGCAGCCCGGCGAGGCCUUCACCGUCCGCAACAUCGCCGCCAUGGUCCCACCUUACGACAAGGUAAACACUGUCUGACUGACUGACGCAUGGACAUCUGUGUUUUUUCUUUUGUUUGGCCGGCCAUGACCACUGGUGUGUCUUUGCCUGUCGACUGCUGCGUGCGCAGACCAAGUACACCGGCAUUGGGUCCGCCAUCGAGUACGCCGUCUGCGCCCUCAAGGUGGAGGUCCUCACCGUCAUCGGCCACAGCCGCUGCGGUGGCAUCAAGGCGCUCCUCUCCAUGAAGGACGGCGCACCUGACAACUUGUAAGUAACGGUGGAAUUAAGUUACAGCUUUGGAUCGAGGAACCUAUCCUGCAGCUUGGUGUUUCUGACUCGAGUACUAUCUCUUUAAUCAGCCACUUCGUCGAGGACUGGGUCAGGAUCGGCUUCCUCGCCAAGAAGAAGGUGCUGACCAACCAUGCCUCGGUUCCGUUCGAUGACCAGUGCACCCUCUUGGAGAAGGUAUGUUUGAGCUACUCAAUUACCAUGGCGAUCUUACUUUCCCAUACAGUAGCAGUGUUUGCAGUGCCAAUUGCAUCUACACGUGUGUACUGCCUGGUCUGCAUGAAUAUCGAAUUGGUUUGCUCAUGAAAGGAUCCUGCAUUUCUGAAUAUUUUUGCAGGAGGCCGUCAACGUGUCCCUCUACAACCUCCUGACCUACCCCUGGGUGAAGGAAGGUGUGGCCAACGGGACACUCAAGCUGGUCGGCGGCCACUACGACUUCGUCAACGGGGUGUUCUCCGUGUGGGAGAAAUAAGCCACCCGGUUUAUUCAUCAUACAUACAUACCGAAAUAAUGCAUCCAAUCGAUGUGAAUGCAUGAGUACUUACUACCUAUUUUCGGCCGCUACAUAUAUAUCAGAUCGGCCGAUGUGAAUGUAAUAAGAUAUAGCAUUUUCUACCGCUUUACGACUUCUAUGUACUAUAUGAUGCGUAAUUUGGCCGCCUUGUGGUCAAAAGACAUCAGCUAUGUAUAAGCCGUUUUACUACCAUGGCUAUGUAUAAUUUCAUAAUAUUUUCGUCAAGAGUUUACCUUUUACUACCCCUUCAUGUUGGCUUCUUUGUCUGUCCCCUUCCUGGUUGCUGAUGCAGUAUUUUUAUGUGAUAAC